UCGGAUUCACUUCGUGGUCUAUUGCAGCCUAAACUUGGGCAGAUUUUCUGUCUGCCACAAAAACAGUCUCAGGGUUGUGACCGCCUUCACCUAUCAAGGUGCUAUAGCUGCAUGGAGAGAGGGGA